GUGUCAGCAGCCGCGGUAAUACGUAGGUCCCGAACGUUGCGCGGAUUUACUGGGCGUAAAGGGUCCGUAGGCGGUCUGGUAAGUGGGAGGUGAAAUCCUGGGGCUCAACUCCAGAAUUGCCCUCCAAACUGCCGGACUUGAGGCAGGGUGAGGUCGGCGGAAUUCCCGGUGUAGCGGUGAAAUGCGUAGAUACCGGGAGGAACACCAGUGGCGAAGGCGGCCGACUGGAACUGACCUGACACUGAGGGACGAAAGCCAGGGGAGCGAACCGGAUUAGAUACCCGGGUAGUCCUGGCCGUAAACGAUGGAUGCUAGAUGUGGGCGGGGAGACCCGUCCGUGUCGCAAGCUAACGCGUUAAGCAUCCCGCCUGGGGAGUACGGCCGCAAGGUUGAAACUUAAAUGAAUUGACGGGG
rnacentral:rRNA from 1 species